rnacentral:rRNA from 1 species
CCUACGGGAGGCUGCAGUGGGGAAUAUUGGACGAUGGGGGCAACCCUGAUCCAGCCAUGCCGCGUGUGUGAAGAAGGCCCUCGGGUUGUAAAGCACUUUCAGUGAGGAAGAACGCCUGGUGGUUAAUACCCAUCAGGAAAGACAUCACUCACAGAAGAAGCACCGGCUAACUCCGUGCCAGCAGCCGCGGGUAAUACGGAGGGUGCGAGCGUUAAUCGGAAUUACUGGGCGUAAAGCGCGCGUAGGUGGCUUGAUAAGCCGGUUGUGAAAGCCCCGGGCUCAACCUGGGAACGGCAUCCGGAACUGUCAAGUUAGAGUGCAGGGGAGGAAGGUAGAAUUCCCGGGGUAGCGGUGAAAUGGGUAGAGAUCGGGAGGAAUACCAGGGGCGAAGGCGGCCUUCUGGACUGACACUGACACUGAGGUGCGAAAGCGUGGGUAGCAAACAGGAUUAGAUACCCGAGUGUC